rnacentral:rRNA from 1 species
GCGGGGUAGGGGAGCGUUCUGUAAGUGGCUGAAGGUGUGCCGGGAGGCAUGCUGGACAUAUCAGAAGUGCGAAUGCUGACAUGAGUAACGACAAGAGGAGUGAAAAACUCCUCCGCCGGAAGACCAAGGGUUCCUAUCCCAUGUUAAUCAGGGUAGGGUGAGUCGACCCCUAAGGCGAGGCUGAAGAGCGUAGUCGAUGGGAAACGGGUUAAUAUUCCCGUACUCGGUAUGAAUGCGAUGGGGGGACGGAGCAGGCUAGGCAAGCAUGGCGUUGGUUGUCCAUGUGAAAGGCUGUAGGCUGGUGACUUAGGAAAAUCCGGGUUGC